ACUACGGGAGUCGCGCGAAGAAUGCUGGGAUACUGGAGGUCGGCCCAGCGCUUCCUGCGGGUUUAGCGCUUUUUCCGAGUUACAGAGAAAACCCUGUGAGGAAUCAUUUUUCCAGAUGAAUAAUUUGAGACACAGAACUAUUAAGAAACUUGCUAAAGGCUACAGAUCUGCUUUGUGAGUGCUGUAAUUAGAACAAAAUGAAUGUCCUCAGAAUUAAAACCCCACGUCAGUAAUGGUUGACCACAAGGCAGG